AGACCAGGGUCCAGGGACAGGAGCUGA
rnacentral:piRNA from 1 species